rnacentral:rRNA from 1 species
CGCGGCCUAUCAGCUUGUUGGCGGGGUAAUGGCCCACCAAGGCGAUGACGGGUAGCUGGCGUGAGAGCGCGACCAGCCACAUCGGGACUGAGACACGGCCCGAACUCCUACGGGAGGCAGCAGUAGGGAAUUUUGGACAAUGGGCGAAAGCCUGAUCCAGCGACGCCGCGUGAGGGAUGAAGGCCUUCGGGUUGUAAACCUCUGUUGCGAGGGAAGAAGCCACCGCAAGGAUGGUGACGGUACCUCGCGAGGAAGCCCCGGCUAACUACGUGCCAGCAGCCGCGGUAAGACGUAGGGGGCAAGCGUUAUCCGGAUUCACUGGGCGUAAAGGGCGCGUAGGCGGCUAUGUAAGUCCGGCGUGAAAUCCCAGGGCUUAACUCUGGAACUGCGUCGGAUACUGCAUUGGCUUGAGGAUGGUAGAGGCUCGUGGAACUAGCGGUGUAGCGGUGAAAUGCGCAGAUAUCGCUAGGAACGCCGGUGGCGAAGGCGACGGGCUGGGCCACUCCUGACGCUGAGGCGCGAAAGCCAGGGGAGCGAACCGGAUUAGAUACCCGGGUAGUCCUGGCCCUAAACGGUGGGUGCUAGGUGUGGGGGACUUUCGUCUUCCGUGCCGCAGCUAACGC